rnacentral:misc_RNA from 1 species
CAGGAGCAUUUGAAAGCCAUGGUUUUGGAGCUGGAAAACAUGAAGGGGGUAGAGUAGCAGCUUAUAUUCAAACUGCAGCAGAAUUUGAUAGGAAUCACACAAAAUCUACUGGAAACCAUCUGUGCAUAACAGCCAUGCCCAUUUACAAGGACGAGUUUGGAAGAAUUAAGAUGGGAGGACCACAAAUUGGGGGAUAAAGGUAUGUUUACCAGUAGUUGAAUCUGCUUUUUCAUCAAUUAGGG